rnacentral:rRNA from 1 species
UACGGAGGAUGCAAGCGUUAUCCGGAUUUAUUGGGUUUAAAGGGUGCGCAGGUUGUUUGAUAAGUCAGUGGUGAAAGUCUGUCGCUUAACGGUAGGAUUGCCAUUGAUACUGUUGGACUUGAAUAUGGAUGAGGUAGGCGGAAUGUGUAGUGUAGCGGUGAAAUGCAUAGAUAUUACACAGAACACCGAUUGCGAAGGCAGCUUACUAAUCCAUCAUUGACGCUGAGGCACGAAAGCGUGGGGAUCAAACA